AAGUCGUAACAAGGUUUCCGUAGGUGAACCUGCGGAAGGAUCAUUAACACGUGUCCACGUAUCAAACCAAAGCCGAGAACUGUGAACGUAUUUCGGGAUGAACUGAAUGGGCGUUGGCUAAUGCUGACUUCGGACGGCAAUGGAUUUCGCACAUUUCGCUCAAACCGUAACCUAAACCAUUACUUAUUAUUAUUAUCUUGUGUUAAGAUCAUCGUGCUGGUGCUUAGUAAGGGAAGUAGUUUGUUUGGAUGCCCUCUUUCAAUGUUCCGCUGAACCUGUAACAGGGGUAAUGCCGUUCGUUGCAAAACCUUCGCUGUGCUAGUAAUGGUGGCUUAUUACAAACUCUGUACAACUCUUAGCAACGGAUAUCUUGGUUUCC
rnacentral:misc_RNA from 1 species